rnacentral:rRNA from 1 species
UACGUAGGGUGCGAGCGUUAAUCGGAAUUACUGGGCGUAAAGCGUGCGCAGGCGGUUUUGUAAGCCAGAUGUGAAAUCCCCGGGCUCAACCUGGGAAUGGCAUUUGGGACUGCAAGGCUGGAGUGCGGCAGAGGAGACUGGAAUUCCUGGUGUAGCAGUGAAAUGCGUAGAUAUCAGGAGGAAUACCGAUGGCGAAGGCAGGUCUCUGGGCUGACACUGACGCUCAUGCACGAAAGCGUGGGGAGCAAACAGGG